GCGAUCAUACCAGCAUUAAUGCACUGGAUCCCAUUAGAACUCAGAAGUUAAGCGUGCUUGGGCGAGAGCAGUACUAUGAUGGGUGACCCCCUGGGAAGUCCUCGUGAUGCACCU
rnacentral:rRNA from 1 species